rnacentral:rRNA from 1 species
GACGAACGCUGGCGGCGUGCCUAACACAUGCAAGUCGAGCGGGAACCUCAGGAGGGGUAACCCUUCUGAGGGGAGAGCGGCGAACGGGUGAGUAACACGUGGGCAACCUGCCCCGGACACCGGGAUAACCCAGGGAAACCUGAGCUAAUACCGGAUACUCCGGCGCGAUCGCAUGGUCGUGCCGGGAAAGCUCCGACGGUCCGGGAUGGGCCCGCGGCCUAUCAGCUUGUUGGUGGGGUAACGGCCCACCAAGGCGACGACGGGUAGCUGGUCUGAGAGGACGGCCAGCCACACUGGGACUGAGACACGGCCCAGACUCCUACGGGAGGCAGCAGUGGGGGAUCUUGCGCUAAUGCGCGAAAGCGUGACGCAGCGACGCCGCGUGGGGA